CCUACGGGUGGCAGCAGUGAGGAAUAUUGGUCAAUGGUCGGGAGACUGAACCAGCCAAGCCGCGUGAGGGAUGAAGGUACAGAGUAUCGUAAACCUCUUUUGUCAGGGAACAAAGGCGGGGACGCGUCCCCGGAUGAGUGUACCUGAAGAAAAAGCAUCGGCUAACUCCGUGCCAGCAGCCGCGGUAAUACGUAGGGUGCAAGCGUUACUCGGAAUCACUGGGCGUAAAGAGUGCGUAGGCGGGUUAAUAAGUCAGAUGUGAAAUCCUGUGGCUUAACUACAGAAUUGCAUUUGAAACGGGUGCUCUGGAGUGUGGGAGAGGUAGGGGGAAUUCGUGGUGGAGGGGUAAAAUCCGUAGAGAUCAAGAGGAAUACUCAUUGCGAAGGCGACCUGCUGGAACAUUACUGACGCUGAUGCACGAAAGCGUGGGGAGCAAACAGGAUUAGAUACCCCAGUAGUC
rnacentral:rRNA from 1 species